rnacentral:tRNA from 1 species
GUGAGAUGGAUGUCGGUUUCCAGACGGAUCUCAUAAGUCCGUCCACGCGGGUUCAACUCCCGCUCUCACCACCA